GAAGGUAUGGAGUUGAAAUAGUCACAAGCAAUUAUGCAGGAAUGAGUGAAGGGAGAAAGUUGGAAGAGAAAAGGAACCGAAGAUAUUUAAUACACAAUGUAUAAGCAGAAUGAGUACGGUACAAUAAUUGUGGAUGAGAAAUUGAACAUAGGCUUUUCUGUCUUGGGUUUUGGGUCCUGGGUCGUGGGUCCUGGGUGCUCAGUGCGCAAAUAAUUUGGGCAUCUAAUUCCUUGGUUUCACUACGCUUCACUUCAGAGGUCUUUUUCUCGCUGCGCUGUACCCUUCGCUUCAUGUUUGCAGAAUUCUUGUCGUCGUCUCAGCUUAUUGCAUCUUGGCAGUGCUGAAGUGUUAGAGCAUAAGCUAAGGAAGUAUAUGAGCAGAUUUCAGUAUCAAGAUUGGCUAAAAAUAUGACCGCUUUGUUGAUCUGUUUCCAAAUUCUGUUGAUGCCCUGUUAAAGCUUGAUGAAGAUAGGGUAAUAACUGGAUCCGAGAAUAGACUUAUCAGCAUGGUUGGAAUAUUGCCAAACAAAAUAAUUCAGCCAAUUGCAGAGCAUUCAGAAUAUCCUAUUGAGCGUCUUGUCAUGCAAGCUGAUAGAGAAUUACGUCUCUUAUUGAGCAGCUGUUCUGUCUUUUUCUUAUGAUAGAAAGUUUCUUGGUAGUAUAUCACAUGAUCAGAUAUUAAAGCUGUGGAAUCUGGAUGAUUUACUGCAAGGUUCUGGAAAAUUCCAAGACUCAGUCUGCUGUUGCAGAUAGUGAUAGUGACGAGAUAGAUGUUGAUGAUGCAAUGGCAAAAGCUUCCAAGGGUGUGUAAAAUCUGCUUCCUAUAGCAGACAUCAUGUCUGAUUCUUGCAUUUUAUUCUGAAAUUUCAGUUCUAUAAUUUAGAUUUUGGGGAUACAUCUCAAGUUUUUGCAGAAUAGUUUUUGCCGGUGAAUUUAUGCUUAACCAGAAUUAGCAACUCAAUUAGAUGAAUUAUUGAAUCUGUGCAUUUUCAUUGAUUCUUGUAGAAGGUUAGAAGAGUUAAGAGCAAAUACAAAAUAUGAAAACUUGUUUGGAGAAGUAAAGGUUUGGUGUCAUAUUCUUAUAAUCCAGAAGAUAAACAAUAAGCAAGCGCCAAGCUUGAACGUAAGAGAAACUAACUACUUGCUAAAACUACUGUUUGCCUAAGAUUGUUGCUUAAUUCUGAUGCAUCAAAAUGUAGCAGGUGUGAAAUGGUCUUCUUGUUUGUAGUUUUAGUGUAAGCCAAUGCCAAUGCAUAUAUUUAUCCAUAACGUGCUUCUAAUUCUAGAAAUAGAUUAUAGCUUUUAAUUUAUUAAGCUUUUACACGACGUUUUUUAUAUCAUCAAAAAUAUCUUCAUCAGGAGUUCCUAAUGUUGCUAAACCAAGAGUAAGGUAGCUACUAUGGUGAAUAACCUGUAGGAGAUGAUUUUUUAAAAAUGGUAGAAAAGUGGAAACAUAAAAAUAAGUACUUUUUUGCAUAAUGCAAUAAGAUGAAUACCAAUGUUUAUGUUUCUGAAUAUGGGCUGCCACCACCACCAGCCUCACUCCGUGACAAGGAGCCAUUAGUGAUUUUUGUUGUUGUAGAUGGCCGCUGUCAAUAACUUGUAGUACUGUUGUGCUAAACUUAGUCCAAUUUGUAGCUCUGGUGAGUUAGUUGUGACAGUUUAAACAAAUACAAAAUGUUAGAUAGAGAUAAUUACUUUUAGCAUUAUGCAGCACAUAAAAGAAUGAGGAAAGUAGGUGCACAGUAAUGUGUUGACAGUUGUGACGGCAUGGAUAAUGCUAUUAGCAUGUUUGAAUUGGCCCAUUUCAGGCCUAUUUCACAAUUGGCUCAAACUCACUAUUAAACAGAAUAUAGGCAUUAUUACAUACAAAACAUACACUUUUUAUGUAACCUUUAAUGGAUCAGAUUCUAACUGGAUCGAGCCAAAUGACACCCAGGGUCUACUCAUGUUUAAAUCGAGUUUCAUAUUGAACCCAAACUUUUUCCAAUCUAAUCAUGUGUACUGAUUGAAUGAUACUUUUAUCAAGUUGAAUAGGUCGAACUCAUGCCAGUUAGAGCUAGUGAUAGUCCUAAUCAUAGAAUCAGUCCUCUCCAUCAUAGAAUCAGUGUUCUCAAUAAUGCACCAUAUUGUCAUAGUUGUUUAUCAUACAAUGAAAUAUAUGAGCAUCAAAACUUGAAAUCCAUUCCCAUGAUUCUUAUUAUUGUGCUAAAUUAUUUUACAAAUGCUUCGAAAAGUAAAUCAAACUUUAACUUUUAAACAAAGCACCAUAUUUUACAAAUGUUUUGAAAACUAACUUGACUCUCAUUUCCUUUUCCUCCUUGUAAGUUUACAAAUAAUUUAACAUUUGUAAGUUUCAUUUUCCUCUUCCUCUUCCUCUUCCUCUUCCUCCUUGUCAUAGUUGUUUACAAAUUUUCCUCUUGUAAAUGUGGAAUGUAAAGCAAUUAAUGUGGGAUUUAGAAAAACGGCCUCUGAUUUAAUUCUGAAAACUGAACUUUGUUCAUGUGAAAAAGUUACCGAGCAUACAAAAUUUGAAACUGAGAAUGCUUGCUAUUUGCUAUUUCUCUUUGAUGUUUUUUUCAUUGUAAUCAAAUUUGAUUUACUAAAUGUUAUUGAGCGAUCAAUUAAUGAUUCACGCAGGCAUUACUCAAAUCUUAUUUUGAACUAACUAACCAUGUUUUUAAACUAUUAUGCACAUCUUAUCUUCUGCUAACUAAAAUAUUAUUUCUCAUCUUAACAGAUUGCUUUAUUGUGUUGAGAAUUAUGAAAUGCAAUGUAAUAUGCUAAAAGUUAACAAUUAGUCAAAUGUUUCAAAGAAAUGUAGUAAACUGAGAAAGCAUCUUGGGAAGAAAAGAAAAGAAAAUAGGAAAAAUGUGUUACUUAUUAUAACUAUAUAAGAAUUGCAAUGUCAACUGUAUGGAAGUCUCUCAAGACAGCAUCCCUUUUAUUUUUGAUAACUUUGUAGCAUAAAUAGUUUCCUUCAGAAUUUUGAUUACCCUCUGUUAUCUGAAUAUCUUUCUUGGGACUGAAAAGUUAGUCCGUCAUUUUCAAAAGAUAAGCUUGGUGUUCAUUCUGUACAAGGUCAAAUGCUAUUUGAAAUCCCAAUAAACCAUCAUUCUUGCUUUUUGUUCUUAAGAGUUUCUCAAAUACAGCAGCAAUGUCUUCUGGUCUAUCCAAAAACAUGAGAAACUAACAUAUGCUUAAAUAAUCAGGUGACAUAUGUAUUAAAGUACUUGAGGUUAGAAUUUCUGAAAUUUUGAUAUCUGUUACACUUGGACCAACAUUUUUUACAAUUAGAAAUAAGAUUUAGAAGAAUGAAUUAGAUAGAUAUAAUCACAUCACGCUGAUAUUUUCUAGAGUUGACAAGAUUGUGACAGACAUGAUUACAAUCGUAUAGGGUUACUUGAAUGUUGUCACUUUGUAUAAGUGCUUGCUAAAGCUUAUCCAAUUUCUGGUGUUUUAUAUUUUUUCUUACAGUUUAUUGAUAUCUUUUGUUAAUUAUAUACCUAGAGGGAGUUUUAAGAAUGAGAUAAGGAGAGAAAGUUCAAAUUUAUAGUAUAAUCUAGUGUUUCAGAAGCUUACAUACUUAUCAAGCAUCCUUUGAACAAUGGCCUUUGAUCUUGGAUCUAUGUUUGGUGCUUUAUUUCACUCGGCAGCUUUAGUCUUGAGAUGAGGACGUUUGUCUAUAGCUUUAGCUGAGAUAAAAGGAUAUAGUAGAAAAUAAAGUAAGAUGUGUAUGGCAUGGUUAAAAAGAAAUGCAUAGUUAGCUUAUGUAAUACCAGCGCCACUUUAUACUUCAAAAUCAGUAUUUAUCUAGCCAUGAUUUAUUUUCUUAUAGAUGCAAUAGAUAGAAAUACAUAACAAAUUUAGAAGGCAAAAUUCAACAAUAAAAAGGUUUGUUAUGAAUAAUGAACAUAUACGAAAGCAAAAAAAACUUAUGCUUCUUAUUCUUCAAAUGCAUUUUACAUAACCUGGUAAAAUGAAUGCUAAAAUAUUAAUCAAGGAGUUGAGUUGUCUGUAGAAGUAGGCUUUAAAAGAAAAUUUUCCAACAAAAAGGCAUCUUUGAAUCUUUGAGGCUAGUAAUAUAGCUCAUUUUCAUAUACACUCUUGUUGCAAAACAAUAAACAGUUAGUAAUUAAUUUUCUGAACAUGCAAUUAUAAGAAUGAGCAAUGUUAAUAUAUAAUGAAUUUUCUAAACAUAAACCAUAAACAAGUGCUAAGUCUAAACGUAAGACAACACUGCUUGAAGUUUCAUUGUAAGCCAACACUAAUGCAUACAUUUAUCGAUAAUGUGCUGCUUCUGUUCCAUAAACUGUCAAAAAGAAAAAGAAUUCAUUUAGUUUUUAAUUCUAGAAAUAGAUUAUGGAAUUCAUUAAGCUUUUAACUAUAGAAAUAUAUCAUAGCUUUUAAUUUAUUAAGUUUUUACACGACAUUUUUGAUAUCAUGAAAAAAUCUUCGUUAGGAGUUUCCAAUACUGCUAAGGUAGGUACUAUACUGAAUAACGUGUAGGAGACGAUUUUUUUAAAAAAAGACAGAAAAUGGAAACAUAAAUAUAGGUACUUUUUUACAUAAUGCAAUAAGACAAAUACCUCAGCGUUAGUAUUUGUUACAUUAUCACAGAGGAACUGAUUCAUGCCUUCCUCAUAGUAGACAAUGCUUAUAUUUCUGAAUAUGGGCAGCCACGACUACCAGUUCCACUGUGUGACAAGGAUGUAUUAGUGAUUUUCCUUGAUGUAGAUGGCCUCUGUUAAUAACUUGUAGUGCUGUUGCGCUAAACUUAGUCCAAUUUGUAGCCCUAGUGAGCCAGUUCUGAUAGUUUAAACAAAUACAAAAUGUUAGAUAGAAAUAAUAACUUUUAUCAUUAUGUAGCAUAUAAAACAAUGAUGAAAAUAGGUGCACAGUAAUGUGUUCACAGUUGUGACGGCAUCCAUAAUGCUAUUAGUGUGUAUAGUUGUAUUAUGACAAAUAUUAUUUCUGAUCUAAACAGAUUGCUUUAUUGUGUUGAGAAUUACAAAAUGCAAUCCGACAUGCAAAAAGGUAACAAUUAGUGAAAUAUUCCAAAGAAAUCUAGUAAACUGAGAAACUAUCUUGAGAAGAA